ensembl:snoRNA SNORD36 Small nucleolar RNA SNORD36
UUGCAAUGAUGUUUGAAUUUCUUCACCUGAACUCAACCGUGAAGAGUAAAAAUACGAGCUUUUUAACCCUGAGCAAU